GGCCUGGUAGUCCGCCGCGGCGGACGAAAGACUGAAAAUCUUUGCGUCGGUGGUUCAAUUCCGCCCCGGGCCACCA
rnacentral:tRNA from 1 species